AAAAAUUUAGUUAAAAUAUAACAUUAGUUUGUCAAACUAAAAUUAAUUUUUUAAAAUUAAUUUUUA
rnacentral:tRNA from 1 species